UGAUCCAGUGAGAAAGCUCCGAGAAUUUCAAUGUGUCUCCCUCACUUGCACGUAUUGCCACGGUGUUUCUCAUUGUUCCAUUGAAGUGCUACAAUGCAGCAUCUUGUGUUCCAGUGAUCAGCGUGGAGCUCCUAUUUGGUGUUGUUUGGCAAGGAGGUGUUGGCAUUCAAGAGUGGGCGGUGCCCUCCACAGGUCGACGUAGUUGGAGCUGAUGUUCUUCUACGGCACUGGAUGCUCUUUGGCGGUUGUUGCAGCGGUGUUACAAGGCCUCCCUUGCUGUUGGGGUGUGCGUUAUCAGUUACAUUGCCUCAUAGGUCCUGUUUUUUUCGCAAUUCUGCACUGUGCAUCGGCAGCGGCAACUUGUAUUGAAUUUUCUUACUGCGGUGCGAUUCAAGAAAGGAGACGCUAGCCGGGGCUACUAUUCGAUUCUGCAGCAUCAAUCAUGCUGUGGAGCGUGGCUCCUUGUUGCUAGUUGCUCGUGCUUUGUUAACAACGUGAAGUUGAAGAGCCUGGUGGAAGGUGCCUUGGCGUUGGGAGUGAUUCUCUUAUUGUCGAUGGCUGCUACUCUCCUGUCUAGAUUUCGGUAGACUCGUGGCCGCGGCGUUCAAUUUCAACUCCAGCUUGCGAGGGACGGGACGUACUACACCGGAAUCCCCUUCUUUGAGGCGCUGAGUGGACUCCGGCCCAGACCUUCCCUCCUCUGUGUGGAGAUCCCAAGUAGGACUGUUUGCGCAAGUUUCUUAGUGUUGCUGGUGGUAAAAAUGCCGAGCUCAGGAUUGCAAUUUUAGUGGACAUUACGUGACAUUGCUCCACUGCUGAUCGGAAGAUAGAACGGAAGCUAGGAAGGAUUAAGAAUGUUCAUCUAAAGAGAGAUUCGCCGUCUUAUUGUUGCAUUGUUGCCGCGGAUGCAAGCAAAGCGGUCGUAGAUUGAGUCUGUUGUUCUCCUUCCGUUGCUCUUUCUUUUCAAGACGAGAAUGUGUGGCGCAUUUUUGGGGUGGAGCUGGAAUUUUAGCGUGUGGCAGAUGUAGCACCAAUGUACUUUCUCAUAAAGUAUGCCGGAGUUCUCUAUUCGACAACUUUGGAGGUGCGGCCUCGCCCUUUUGUACAUGGUUUUCCGCAGCAUAUGUGUCCAGUGCUGUUGCCGGGUUCGGAAUUGAUGUUUUGUAGAGAGGCUUUUGAAAGCUACAUCAGAGGAUUGCAGGCAAAGUUAAGUCAUUUCACCACAUGGUUGGGUUGUUGGUUUUUACAGCAGCUGUGGUUCUCUAGUGUAGCACUUGAAGGCUUGGUGCUCAGUGGAUAAAGGUUGCAACUAACUUGUAGUGCCCUGAAAGCGGACCUUGCGUAACCUCUGGGAACUGUCAAUGCACUCAGGGCAGCGAAGGAGAUUGUGAUUUAGUCGUGGAAGAUUUAUCUAAAGGAAGGAACUUGUUACUUGGUUGGUAAACUGGUGCGAUUGAAGACGUUGCUGCGGCCUGCUCGAACAAGAAGCUGCGGUAGCUGGUUUUGACUCCAGGUACACUUCUGCGAGAGGAGUGUAUUGGGAGAUUGGGAAGAUCAGAACGGCAACAGUUGGAGCAAAGUACUGGGUGGGGAACUGUGGACAUCGGCCCUCUGCGUUGCAUUCAAUUUUGGUUUUUUCUUCUGUGCGGUGAACUAGGAUUCAGCACCUACCCCUCUUCAAAGACCUCGUAUGUGGUGAGAAACUUGGUACAGAUUGAAAUUAGGAUUGGACGAAUCUCCACUUGGAUGAGAGAAGUGAAUGAUGUUAGGUUAGAUUUGAAUGAACUUAGGUUAGGAUUUAAUUAUGUUAAAAUUAGAUGUGUUCCUACAGAAUGAGAAUUAAAUAAAGGAUGAAUUUUAAGUA